AUUUACAGCAUGUAAAUACUAAAUACAAGAAACUGAUGUGGAAAUGCUUUUAAUCCAGACUCCGAGGGGGUUGUACGCAAUGAUUUAGGCUUCCCAUUCGGUAUUUUGUCACUUCGGUGGCGUAAGGAUUUCCCCUAAAAGUCCGGCGUUUUAACUUGUCAUUCAUUUUAGCUUACAGUGAUUUUAAACACAGUGGUGUAAAAGGAAACAACAGAAUGUAUAGUUGCUCCGUGUUAUAUUCGGGGUGAAUUCCAUGUUUUAAUAUUCCAUAACAGCCGAUCCCAGAACCGGACUCUGGCCGUAGUUGCUCGCCGAAACUUCUUAAAAACUCGCCAAACACUUGUUAAAGCUCAGUGUUAUGUCUGUGUGUCUCUGUAUGUCUCGAGAGGUUUUUUUUACGUGAAAGAAUGCUGCAGUUUAAUAAAAUAAGCAUUUUGACGCGAAUAAAACUAUCAAGAACGCUAGCACUGUAUGCUAAGAACGUUAGCAUAUGUUCACUUUUAAAACAGACUCAUAAUAAAAAUGAGUUGGUAGCUCCUUGAAAUUAAAAUGAGUUAUAUUGGUAAAGCUAUUGAAAUAACUUCACUUAGGCUGUUGAUAUUGACAUAACUAUCAUUUAAUUCAGCAGCCACGUGACGUCAUACGUUAGCGUAAUAAUAAUACAUAUUUACAGGUGCCAUUCAAAAGACAAAAUGUCACCUUACAAAUAAAGUAAACCAUCAAUAACAACAAACCAGACACAAACAUCAAAUGUAAUGUCUGGAUUUACAAAGAGUAAGCAGUCUUGAUUAGAUUGGUUGUAAGUCUGGAUAUAAACAGGGAGAGUCUCAGUGUUGCUGAUGUUUGUGGCCCUGUCCACAUGAAAACAGGUUUGGAACUAUUUGUAUUCUUGGUUGGGUAUACAUUUCUAUCAUCUAUGACUUAAUGUAGACAUAGCCAGAAGGAUUCAGAGUUUGGGAGCAGAGGUGGAGAAACCUCUGCUCCCCAUGGUGCUGAAGUGAGAAGAGCUUGCACUGAGGUGCAUAGAAUAGGAGGAUAUGAGGAGGUGGCAACGUGAAUCAGAUCGGACUUUGUUUGCAAACAGAAGAAUUCUGAAUUCCACUCUGAAUAUGUAUAAAGCUGCAGUAGAACUGGUGUGAUGAAAUAAAGAUGUUCCAGUGAUGAUCUGAGCUGUGGAGCAAGCUACAUCUUAGGUAUACAGUUAUGGUGGAGCUCGUAGCUGCCCCUUCACCCCUGGUGCUUCAAGUUUGGAUGCAGCACUAUGGCUUUGCUGGUCUGUGUUGGACAUGUUACUUUUUAAAAACGCUAGUUAUAGUUGCAAGUUAUUCUCAUAUAAUUGUCUCUUUGGUUGGGUUGGAGCACCCCUAUUGGAUAAUGGUAGGGGAAAUGCCACUUUUGAACUAUUUAGAGUUUCUCCAUCUAGUUUUCAGUCUGUGCAUCCUAAACACCUACCCACUUAAUUAAAGGGCUGUUUCAGGCCUUUUUUGGAUUUGAUAGGAACUGUGACUGGUUAAAAGUACCAAAGCUCAGCUUCCUUCUGGCAAACAUUUUCAUUAAUAUAGGCAGAUUUUUUGAAAGAGAUUAUAGAAAAAUAUUCUGUGUUUUUUUUAUUCACUCUUGUUCUCUUAGUUCUCCAUCUGGCCAGUUUUAUUCCUUCAGACUCCAUACAGUGCAUGAUUACAAAUCUUUUUAAAUUAAUAUAGAGUGCUUAUAUAUAUUAUAAUGCUUAUUAGUUGUCUGUGUCAUGUUUAAAAUUUUUUUUUUAGCGCCAAAAAUGUCUAAAAGGAAGGCAAGAAAAAAGCCUGCUGAUGAAGCAACCUUUUACAUUCAAUCUUCAAAGGACAAACCAGGAUUAAUGGAAAGAUUUAUUGAUGAUCACAAAGGAAGGGGUGUGUUUGCUACCCAGCCCAUUGAACAAGGAGAUUUCGUCUUAGAAUACAGGGGUCAACUUCUAUCAGCAGAUAAAUGCCAAACAAGAAAGUACUCUGAAAAGGAGAGUACAUUUCUCUUUGAGUUUGAAUGGCAGAAUCGUCACUGGUGCAUUGAUGCUUCAAUAGAGGAUGGCUCUCUGGGAAGAUUAGUGAACGACAACCACAAGUCUCCAAACUGCAACAUGAAAAAAAUAAUAGUAAAUGAUCAACCCCAUUUGUGCCUGUUUGCCAUCAAAAAAAUAGAAAUAGGAACUGAAAUUGAUUACAACUAUGGUGAUUCUAAAUGGCCAUGGCGUGAAAAAGCUCCUACUGCUGUAGCUGAGCCAGCCAGAACCUCGUGGGACUCUUUCCCUGAUGACAGCA